UACGUAGGCAGCGAGCGUUGUUCGGAAUUACUGGGCGUAAAGAGUGUGUAGGCGGUGUUCCCAGUCUGUUGUGAAAUCUCCCGGCUUAACUGGGAGGGUGCAGCGGAAAACUAGAAUGCUAGAGGGUGGGAGAGGUAAGCGGAAUUCCUGGUGUAGCGGUGAAAUGCGUAGAUAUCAGGAGGAACACCUGUGGUGUAGACAGCUUACUGGACCACUUCUGACGCUGAGACACGAAAGCGUGGGUAGCAAACAGG
rnacentral:rRNA from 1 species